rnacentral:rRNA from 1 species
AACGUAGGAGACGAACGUUAUCCGGAGUUACUGGGCGUAAAGGGCGCGUAGGCGGUUGGAUAAGUCAGCUGUGAAAACCACGGGCUUAACUCGUGGCCUGCAGUUGAGACUGUCUGGCUUGAGUGUGGGAGAGGAGAGUGGAAUUCCUGGUGUAGCGGUGAAAUGCGUAGAUAUCAGGAGGAACACCGGUGGCGAAGGCGGCUCUCUGGACCACAACUGACGCUGAGACGCGAAAGCGUGGGGAGCGAACAGG